rnacentral:rRNA from 1 species
CAGCCGCCGCGGUAAUACAGAGGGUGCGAGCGUUAAUCGGAUUUACUGGGCGUAAAGCGUGCGUAGGAGGCUUUUUAAGUCGGAUGUGAAAUCCCUGAGCUUAACUUAGGAAUUGCAUUCGAUACUGGGAAGCUAGAGUAUGGGAGAGGAUGGUAGAAUUCCAGGUGUAGCGGUGAAAUGCGUAGAGAUCUGGAGGAAUACCGAUGGCGAAGGCAGCCAUCUGGCCUAAUACUGACGCUGAGGUACGAAAGCAUGGGGAGCAAACAGGAUUAGAUACCCCUGUAGUCCCUGUCUCUUAUAC